rnacentral:rRNA from 1 species
UACGUAGGGGGCUAGCGUUGUCCGGAAUCAUUGGGCGUAAAGCGCGCGUAGGCGGCCAGAUAAGUCCGGUGUGAAAGUCACAGGCUCAACCUGUGAAUGCCGCUGGAAACUGUCUGGCUUGAGCCCGGAAGGGGCGAGUGGAAUUCCUGGUGUAGCGGUGAAAUGCGCAGAUAUCAGGAGGAACACCAAUGGCGAAGGCAGCUCGCUGGAACGGUACUGACGCUGAGGUGCGAAAGCGUGGGGAGCGAACAGG